rnacentral:rRNA from 1 species
GUUUACGGCCAUACCAGCCUGGGUACGCCCGAUCUCGUCUGAUCUCGGAAGCUAAGCAGGGUCGGGCCUGGUUAGUACUGGAUGGGAGACCGCCUGGGAAUACCAGGUGCUGUAAGCU